AAAAUACUCCCUCCGUCUCAAAAUUUUUGUCUUAAAUUUGUUUAUAUACGGAUGUACCUAAUACUAAAACAUGACUUGAUACAUCCGAAUUUAGACAAAUCUAAGACAAGAAUUUUGGGACGGAGAAAGUACGAU
rfam:Triticum aestivum genome assembly, contig: Triticum_aestivum_CS42_TGACv1_scaffold_049385_1BS